rnacentral:rRNA from 1 species
UUGCCGGAGAGAUUCGGAGUUCUCGUAAGAGACCAGGUGACAGGUGCUGCAUGGCUGUCGUCAGCUCGUGUCGUGAGAUGUUCGGUUAAGUCCGGCAACGAGCGCAACCCCCGCUUCAGUUGCCAACGGUUCGGCCGUGCACUCUGGAGGAACUGCCUGUGACAAGCAGGAGGAAGGUGGGGAUGACGUCAAGUCCUCAUGGCCCUUAUGGGCUGGGCUACACACGUGCUACAAUGGCGGUGACAGAGGGAUGCAAUACCGCGAGGUGGAGCAAAUCCCUAAAAGCCGUCUCAGUUCGGAUUGUUCUCUGCAACUCGAGAGCAUGAAGUUGGAAUCGCUAGUAAUCGCGGAUCAGCUCGCCGCGGUGAAUACGUUCCCGGGCCUU